rnacentral:lncRNA from 1 species
AGUUGAGGAGAAAACAGUGGAGGGAUAAGGGGAGAGAUUUUAGGAGAAAAUCAAGGGAAGUGAGGGGAGAGGAGAGGUGUUCCAAAAUUGGACUUUGUACCCCGGAAAAUUUGGCCAGAGGGGAUAUUGCUCACUUUUGGUAUACUUUCAUUUCGGUUUUGUGUGGUGUUUUCACUCUUUUUUCUUGAAGGCUGAUGUGGUAAGGGUUUUUGCAUAUUCUUUUGUAUCGUUUUUUU